rnacentral:rRNA from 1 species
CCUACGGGAGGCUGCAGUGAGGAAUAUUGGUCAAUGGACGAGAGUCUGAACCAGCCAAGUAGCGUGAAGGAUGACUGCCCUAUGGGUUGUAAACUUCUUUUAUAAAGGAAUAAAACGCGGCACGUGUGCCUUUUUGCAUGUACUUUAUGAAUAAGGAUCGGCUAACUCCGUGCCAGCAGCCGCGGUGAUACGGAGGAUCCGAGCGUUAUCCGGAUUUAUUUGGUUUAAAGGGAGCGUAGAUGGGUUGUUAAGUCAGUUGUGAAAGUUUGCGGCUCAACCGUAAAAUUGCAAUUGAUACUGGCAGUCGUGAGUACAGUUGAGGGAGGCGGAAUUCGUGGUGUAGCGGUGAAAUGCUUAGAUAUCACGAAGAACCCCGAUGGCGAAGGCAGCUUACUAAACUGUGACUGACAUUGAUGCUCGAAAGUGUGGGUAGCAAACAGGAUUAGAUACCCCUGUAGUC